GACGAACGCUGGCGGCGUGCCUAAUACAUGCAGGUAGAACGCACAGUUUAUACCGUAGCUUGCUACACCAUAGACUGUGAGUUGCGAACGGGUGAGUAACGCGUAGGUAACCUGCCUGGUAGCGGGGGAUAACUAUUGGAAACGAUAGCUAAUACCGCAUAAUAUUAAUUAUUGCAUGAUAAUUAAUUGAAAGGUGCAAUUGCACCACUACCAGAUGGACCUGCGUUGUAUUAGCUAGUAGGUGAGGUAACGGCUCACCUAGACGACGAUACAUAGCCGACCUGAGAGGGUGAUCGGCCACACUGGGAAUGAGACACGGCCCAGACUCCUACGGGAGGCAGCAGUAGGGAAUCUUCGGCAAUGGACGAAAGUCUGACCGAGCAACGCCGCGUGAGUGAAGAAGGUUUUCGGAUCGUAAAGCUCUGUUGUAAGAGAAGAACGGGCGUGAGAGUGGAAAGUUCACACUGUGACGGUAUCUUACCAGAAAGAGACGGCUAACUACGUG
rnacentral:rRNA from 1 species